ACAGAAUAUCAGGCUGCAUGGCAUGAGUGCAAGACAGAAGGAUUGAGUAUGCAAAGGAGGCACAGUGAUGGGAAAUGCUCUGAGAUGCUGCAGAGGCUUUGGGAGUAGUUACAGGAUGCUAAAAGACCUGCCUGCCAAGAAAUGGACCAGAGAAAUAAGUGCCAUUUUAUGACUUGACUCUGCUGAGAAUUUAAAGUGGGAGGCCUUUCUGAAAGUCCUGCAUUGUGCAGCAGGAACCGUAUGUGGAAGACACGGCAACACCUGAGCGCUUUCUGCGCUGUGGCUGCGAAGACCCUGAUAUUUCAUUUGGACUUGGCGGCUAAUCACGCAUCCUACCAGCUCCUCUGUCUCGCGAUGAAGGAUCUGUGCACGUUUCAGGUCGCGUUCAGAGGUGGGAAGAAGUGGAGACGUUCCAGGAAGAUUCCUGUGAGGAAGAACAUUUAUUUGAUCUACAGCUGAAGGAGAUGAAGGAGUUCGCAAAG